rnacentral:rRNA from 1 species
AUGGCGGAAGUUUUAGCUCUCAAAUUUGGUCUAACACUGGCGCAAAGGGCGGGAUGCAAUCACCUUAUUAUAAAUUUGGAUAAUAUGGAGGUGAUUGAUAAUAUGCAUGUUGGAGGGCAGCCGGCGGCAGCAAUCUUCGAUGAUUGUUUUCAUUAUGCAUGUGAUUUCGUUACUGCUAGGUUUGAGCACUGUAAUAGGGAAGCAAAUAAAGUAGCUUAUGAGCUUGCUAGAUUAGCUAGAUUUUCUUUGACUUCUGAAUGGUACGAGGAACCUUUAAAUAAAAUUGUAAUGAUCUUCGCAAACGAUGUACUACUUAUUAUAAAUGAAUAA